UAAAAAAAACAGCUUACUGCUCCAAC
rnacentral:piRNA from 1 species